UCGAACGAUGAAGCCGGGGCUUGCUCUGGUGGAUUAGUGGCGAACGGGUGAGUAACACGUGAGCAACCUGCCCUGGACUCUGGGAUAAGCGCUGGAAACGGCGUCUAAUACUGGAUACGAGACGUGGCCGCAUGGUCAACGUUUGGAAAGAUUUUUCGGUCUGGGAUGGGCUCGCGGCCUAUCAGCUUGUUGGUGAGGUAAUGGCUCACCAAGGCGUCGACGGGUAGCCGGCCUGAGAGGGUGACCGGCCACACUGGGACUGAGACACGGCCCAGACUCCUACGGGAGGCAGCAGUGGGGAAUAUUGCACAAUGGGCGCAAGCCUGAUGCAGCAACGCCGCGUGAGGGAUGACGGCCUUCGGGUUGUAAACCUCUUUUAGCAGGGAAGAAGCGAAAGUGACGGUACCUGCAGAAAAAGCGCCGGCUAACUACGUGCCAGCAGCCGCGGUAAUACGUAGGGCGCAAGCGUUAUCCGGAAUUAUUGGGCGUAAAGAGCUCGUAGGCGGUUUGUCGCGUCUGCUGUGAAAUCCCGAGGCUCAACCUCGGGCCUGCAGUGGGUACGGGCAGACUAGAGUGCGGUAGGGGAGAUUGGAAUUCCUGGUGUAGCGGUGGAAUGCGCAGAUAUCAGGAGGAACACCGAUGGCGAAGGCAGAUCUCUGGGCCGUAACUGACGCUGAGGAGCGAAAGGGUGGGGAGCAAACAGGCUUAGAUACCCUGGUAGUCCACCCCGUAAACGUUGGGAACUAGUUGUGGGGUCCUUUCCACGGAUUCCGUGACGCAGCUAACGCAUUAAGUUCCCCGCCUGGGGAGUACGGCCGCAAGGCUAAAACUCAAAGGAAUUGACGGGGA
rnacentral:rRNA from 1 species